CCGGUGCCUUCUCCACCGUCCCGUUCGCUAACCCUGCGGCCUCGCCAUUUGGCAACCACGUGGCGCCUCUGCACGCCCACAUGCAAAUGCACGCUGCUGCCGCUGCCGCCGCCGCGCACCUGGGCGCCAACAAUCCUGCGGAUCCAUCGCUGCUGGCGGCCCAGUUGGCUGCCCUCAAUAUUCAACAACAGCAGCAGCAGCAGCAGCAGCAGCAGAGACAGCAGCACCUGGGCAUUGGGAUUGGCAUCGGUGGAAUCAACAUGGCCAGCGGCGCGGCAGCCGCUGCCGCCGCAGCCGCUGCCGCCGGCAUCGGCCACGGCCCCGUGCAGUACGUGGCUUCCGCCGCCCCGCACCCGGCACUGAUACAUACAGGCAUGUACGGACCUGGCGGCGGCAUGUACGACACUGCGCAACAACACCUAAUGGUGGCGAUGGGCGGGGCGCAGGCGGAGGUAUGA
rnacentral:lncRNA from 1 species